AUCGCUUCUCGGCCUUUUGGCUAAGAUCAAGUGUAGUAUCUGUUCUUAUCAGUUUAAUAAAUAUAUAUAUAUAUAAAAAUUUGCUUAUUGUGGUUAAUUCGUGAAAGCACUUUAU
rnacentral:snRNA from 1 species